CAAGACAACGAGACUCUGAAACGGUAAACUCCGUUACUCUGCACCCUAGCUCUCGCGGAUGACACGACCAAAGAGAUUCACGCGCAAGAAAUGUACGUGGCUUUAACACUCUUUAGUGUCUGAACUCAAAUAGAAUUUUUUGUUAGUUUUUUCAUAUUCUCUCUUUCCCUCAUUCAAAACAAGAAUUCAUUAUUAUUCAAUAAAAAAGAAAACCGCAAGAGAGAAAGUGAAGCAAAGGUUUUGUUUUUGCUUUCUAUUUUUUUUUCCAUUUCUGUAAUUCAUGCAAAUGGUAAAUCUGCCUCAAUCUCUAUCGGUGAACGCAUCUUAUGGGGGGCCCAGCGCGUCGAAUCUAGCUGCCGCUGGAGCUCCGGCGAAUAAGGAUCGGAAAAUGGAAUCGGCGGAGCAUUUGGUUCUCGAUCUGAGCAACCCUGAUCUCCGAGAAAACGCUCUUCUCGAACUAUCCAAGAAGAGAGAAUUAUUUCAAGAUUUGGCUCCAUUGUUGUGGAAUUCUUUUGGUACUAUUGCUGCCCUUUUACAGGAGAUAGUUUCAAUUUAUCCUGUUCUUUCACCUCCAAAUCUAACUCCAGCUCAAUCAAAUCGAGUUUGCAAUGCCCUUGCUCUACUUCAGUGUGUAGCUUCACAUCCAGACACAAGGAUGUUAUUCCUAAAUGCUCAUAUACCCCUGUAUCUGUAUCCUUUCCUUAAUACAACUAGUAAAUCAAGGCCUUUUGAGUACUUGAGGCUUACUAGCUUAGGUGUCAUUGGUGCCUUGGUGAAGGUUGAUGAUACAGAAGUUAUUAGUUUCCUUCUUUCGACAGAAAUAAUCCCGCUGUGUUUGCGCACAAUGGAGAUGGGUAGCGAACUGUCGAAAACAGUUGCCACUUUUAUAGUUCAGAAGAUUUUGUUAGAUGAUGUUGGCUUGGACUAUAUUUGCACUACUGCAGAGCGGUUUUUUGCGGUUGGUCAAGUUCUUGGAAAUAUGGUUGCAGCACUUGCUGAGCAACCCUCUUCACGACUGUUAAAACAUAUUAUUCGAUGUUAUCUUCGCUUGUCAGAUAACCCGAGGGCUUGUGAUGCAUUAAGAAGUUGCCUUCCAGACAUGUUAGGAGAUGCCACUUUUAGUACUUGUCUUCGUGAAGAUCAAACCACUAGGAGGUGGCUACAGCAGUUGCUUCACAAUGUUGGGGUGAAUCGGGUGCCAACUCUUCAGGCUGGUGCAGGAUUUGAUCACAUGCUGGUUAACUGAAAAUCAGGCAAUUUUCUUUCAGUCAUUGCCUAUCUUUUCCAAAUUCAAAGCUGGUUUCAGCAGGCAGGGAGGCGCCCUUUACGAUCUUAUCUAACUUUUUUUUUUUUUUUUGUAUGUUAAUUUAAUUAGUUGUUGUAAUUAGUGAUUGGUCCUUGAAAGAAAUGCAGGAGACUUAAGCUUGGUCUGGGGUGGAGGUGCAAACAUGGUUGGACCAUUUUGAAUGUUUUGAAUCCAAAUUGUGUACAUUUAUUUAACCAAUUUUCAUGUAUAGUGAAAAUAUGAUCAGGCAGCUCCGAGUAAGAAUAUAAAAAAAAAAAAAAGAUCUGGCUGCUGAUUGGUACCAUCGCUUCCUUGAUGGUAGCCCGUGCCUUAUAUGUAUCAUUGAUUUGUCCUUCCAGGAUUGUGUUUUCCGUGAAGAGAAAUUGUAAAGCAAAUAUGGUUGGCAAAUGCCAAUUGUGUUACGAUAACUCGUAACUCUCAUUUUGUUGAGAGGCUUUGUCCUUGUUUGGAUGCAAGGGAUUUUCCAUUUCGUGACUGGUCUUUUUCCCAUCGGAAUCUCAAAGUCCAAUGUCAACUG